ensembl:snoRNA
GCUGUCCUGGAUCUGUCAGCACCACAAGCACAGCUGCUCUGCUGUGCCUGUAAGCAUCAGGACAGAGAGCAAGUGGCUAUUUCUAUGCAUGGUGUUCAGAAGCCAGUGAGCACUAGGAAUGGUUAUAGCCUGACAUUC